GAGGUUUUCUUAGUUUAACUUCAGAUCAAACUAGGCCGUACGUUGCUCCUGGACUGAAAUUCAGUGUGUGUGUGUGUGUCCCCCCCAGGUGAAGCUGUGCUGGGACGAUCUGAUGGCUGCUCACUGCGUCCAAUCAGCAGCCACUCAAAGCGCCUCCAGUCCCAUCCAGCUGGAUUUCCCUCAGGCUCAGGGAGCUCAGAUGGAUGCGUGUUUUCCUCCAGGAAGCCUUCCUACACGUCCAGAAUCUGAUAGUCCUGAUCCACAGCUGGACCCACUGCUUGAACCACCGCUUGAACCAGAGCUAAGACCACAGCUGGAACAACAGCUUGAAACACAGCUGGGACCACAACUAGGACAACAGCUGGGUCCACAGCUGGAACAACAGCUGGGACCACAACGAGGACAACAGCUGGGACCACAACUAGGACAAGAGCUUGGACCACAGCUGGGCAUCGUUCUCUCCCAACAGGCCAAGAUGUUACUCCAGCAGAUGCAGACCUUUGGCGAUCUACUGAAGAGUAGAAAACUGAGUCUUGAAAAGCAAACAGAGGGUUUGUGUCACCUCAGUGAAACUUUGGACUCGUUGGUAAAAAGUUUCCUCCUGACGAAUAAGGAGCUACGCCGCCUGAAGAAGCAGCACAGAGCAGACCUGGGUUGUCUUGACCCCACACGGACGUUGAAGGCACAGAUCUACUACUCUGUGUAUCUCAUGAGGAAGCUGAAGAAGUAUCAGGAGCAGCUCUAUGAGACUCCGCCCCCCUCCUUCCCUGUUCAGCCCGUGUGCUCGUCCACUCCACGAACCCCCCCACAGUUUCCAGCUGAUCCUGGUGAGAUGAAGGAACUGAGGUCAACCAGAGAAGGAAGUGACAACGACUACAAACACACACUCACCUCUCACUUCCUCCCACCUCUGAGCGAUGCUCACACACACAUGGAUCAUGUCCGAUUGUUCCGCUGUGAUUCCAUUGAGUCCAUCUCUGCUGAGGAAAGCUCCAGGAAUCCUCCGUCUGUUUUUCACCCGCCCACAAACGCCAGCACGGCUCAGCAGGAGAAAAGUGGGAGGAGCCGCAGCCUCUACUGCUCGUCACCGCAGCGUGUCACAUGCAGCAGCAUCAGCAGCAGGAUGAGAUCCAAUGUUCAGCCUCCUGCUCUGAUGUCCAGAUCCACUCAGACCUCAGCAGCAGUGGAGAGGAGCAGCCGGACGCCACAGCACCACUGUUGCAGAGACUCCGCCCCUCAUCGGGUCAGACCAGUGAAGAGCCAACACAACCGUGCUCUUUUUCUACGCCAGUUUCUGCCAGGGUGUCCACCUCAAAAACUGUUCUACCCCUCCCCUCACAGCGGGUCACGGUUGGGGUUUUGAGGUCACACUGAGGCCACGCCCUCAUUGGACAGAGCCAUCAGAGCCGCUGAGAGCAUGAAGAGAUCGUCCAGUCGCAUGGUUGACUCUCUGUCUGCAGGCCUGCACCUCCGGCAGCACCUCGCUACCCCGCUCUGGACUCAAUCUUGAUGAUGUGAUCAUCCAACAGUUUAAGAGCUUUCUCAGUGUUGAGGAUAGAGAGAAGCGUUUGAUGUGUUCCUGCACUCAGCACUUCCUGUCCUAUGGAAAAACACUCAUUUAAAUAUGGCGUCUAUAGUAGUGGGCGUGCACUGUAACGUUUCUCACUCAACGUUCUUGAAGCCAAAAUACGACACUUAGGGGCGUUUCCAUCUUGCAGACUACUAGUGGCACAGUGUUAGUGAAUCUGGGUCAUCAAUGGUCCAACUUAUCAUCAAGUCCAACACCUGGUGCUGAUGGUGUGAAGAAAAGCUGAAAGAGCUGAUGGAGAAUCACACGCUCUCAGGAACAUGUCCUACCUUUGGAUCACGUUGGAAGAAGUUCUGGAUCUUGAAUAACUGUUGUUACUUGUUGUGUCAAUAAACCUGCCUUUAGUU
rnacentral:lncRNA from 1 species